rnacentral:rRNA from 1 species
GACGAACGCUGGCGGCGUGCCUAAUACAUGCAAGUAGGACGCAGUUGCGAACGGGUGAGUAACGCGUAGGUAACUGCCUCUUAGAGGGGGGUAACUCUUGGAAACGCUAGCUCAUACCGCAUACUAGUUGAUGGACCUGCGUUGUAUUAGGUAGUAGGUAGGGGAAUGGCCUACCUAGGCGACGAUACAUAGCCGACCUGGGAGGGUGUGCGGCCCCACUGGGACUGGGGAACGGCCCAGACUCCCACGGGGGGCAGCAGUAGGGAAUCGUCGGGCAUGGGGGGAACCCUGACCGAGAAACGGCGCGUGAGGGAAGAAGGUUUUCGGAUCGGAAAGCUCUGGUGGUAAGGAAGCGGUACUUAACCAGAAAGGGACGGCUAACUACGUGCCAGCAGCCGCGGUAAUAC